UUUAAAUGGCAAUCGCUUUCAGAAAGAGAUUGUUUGGUUUUUGUAAUAGACUAAGUAAAGGUGUUGGAGUGAGUUGAUCUCUUACAAGGAUAGUUUGUUUUACAAGGAUAAUUUGUUUUAAAUGACAGUCGUUGCUUUUAUUUGCAUAUUGUUACAUGGGAGGGCCAGCCCAUGUCAUGCUGGUGUUUUUUUCCCGCUGAACCGGACAAACCUGAGGGUGUAUUAUCAUAUUUGUAAUGACUGAAAUUUGGGGCUCACCUGAGCUCCUUGAUUCAGAAAAAAGCUGCGCUUCAUUGCGAGAUUUGCUACUUCAGAGAAAA